rnacentral:rRNA from 1 species
UACGGGGGGAGCAAGCGUUGUUCGGAUUUACUGGGCGUAAAGGGCGCGUAGGCGGUCCGCACAAUUCAGUUGUGAAAUCUCCGGGCUUAACUCGGAAAGGUCAACUGAUACUGUGCGACUAGAGUGCAGAAGGGGCAACUGGAAUUCUCGGUGUAGCGGUGAAAUGCGUAGAUAUCGAGAGGAACACCUGCGGCGAAGGCGGGCUGCUGGGCUGACACUGACGCUGAUGCGCGAAAGCCAGGGGAGCGAACGGG